rnacentral:rRNA from 1 species
UACGUAGGGGGCUAGCGUUGUCCGGAAUCAUUGGGCGUAAAGCGCGCGUAGGCGGCCCUGUAAGUCCGCUGUGAAAGUCAAAGGCUCAACCUUUGAAUGUCAGCGGAUACUGCCGGGCUAGAGUCCGGAAGAGGCGAGUGGAACUCCUGGUGUAGCGGUGGAAUGCGCAGAUAUCAGGAAGAACACCAACGGCGAAGGCAGCUCGCUGGGACGGAACUGACGCUGAGGCGCGAAAGCGUGGGGAGCGAACAGG